rnacentral:rRNA from 1 species
UACGGAGGGUGCAAGCGUUAUCCGGAUUCACUGGGUUUAAAGGGUGCGUAGGAGGGCAAGUAAGUCAGUGGUGAAAUCCUAGAGCUUAACUCCGAAACUGCAUUUGAUACUGCGGUGCUUGAGGACUGGAGAGGAGACUGGAAUUUACGGUGUAGCGGUGAAAUGCGUAGAUAUCGUAAGGAAGACCAGUGGCGAAGGCGAAUCUCUGGACAGUUACUGACACUGAGGCACGAAAGCCAGGGGAGCAAACGGG